CCUACGGUGAGCAGCAGUGGGGGAUAUUGCACAAUGGGGGAAACCCUGAUGCAGCGACGCCGCGUGUGGGAAGACGGUCCUCUGGAUUGUAAACCACUGUCCCCAGGGACGAAGAUGACGGUACCUGGGGAGGAAGCUCCGGCUAACUACGUGCCAGCAGCCGCGGUAAUACGUAGGGAGCGAGCGUUGUCCGGAAUUACUGGGUGUAAAGGGAGCGUAGGCGGGACUGCAAGUUGGGUGUCAAAUCUACCGGCUCAACCGGUAGCCGCACUCAAAACUGCAGUUCUUGAGUGAAGUAGAGGCAGGCGGAAUUCCUAGUGUAGCGGUGAAAUGCGUAGAUAUUAGGAGGAACACCAGUGGCGAAGGCGGCCUGCUGGGCAUUUACUGACGCUGAGGCUCGAAAGUGUGGGGAGCAAACAGGAUUAGAUACCCUAGUAGUC
rnacentral:rRNA from 1 species